rnacentral:misc_RNA from 1 species
AAGUCGUAACAAGGUUUCCGUAGGUGAUAUCCUCCCGGUUUGCCUACCGAAGCCCCGGCGGCGCGGCUCGAAAGAACGCUGCUUCAGUUGGCCUCAUCUCGUGGGGCCGGCGACGCUAUCAAUCUGCGCUGGAAGCGUUCUACGGAGCGCAACCAGCAGCUCCACCGGAGUCCACAGAUCAAACGAUGGCGGCCAUUCGUAAUGGUUUAGAUAUGAUCGGCCCCAGCCGCCACCGGCUGGCGAAUCCCGCGGAACCUGCGGAAGGAUCAUUACUGAGAGAGGGCCUCGCGCCCCCGGGGGGUUUCGGCCCCCCAACUCUUCAACCCUGUGUGAACGUACCUUUGUUGCUUUGGCGGGCUGCGGCGCUGACUCCCACAUCGGGGUCGCCCGUGCCAGCGGCGCUAACCCGCAGAUGCUGGACCAUAAGCUCCCGUCAGAGGCCCAUCAAAACCCUUUGAAUUAGCGUCGUCCGAGUACAAAACAAUAGUAAAAAC